UACGUGGGGUGCAAGCGUUAUCCGGAUUUACUGGGCGUAAAGCGUACCGUCGGUGGUUUUGUAAGUUCUUCGUUUAAGCCUGGGGCUUAACUCCAGAAAAGCGGGGAAAACUACAAGACUUGAGUUUGUUCGGGGAAGCUGGAAUUCUCGGUGGAGGGGUGAAAUCCGUAGAUAUCGAGAGGAACACCAUACGCGAAGGCAGGCUUCUAGGACAACACUAACACUCAUGGACGACAGCUCGGGGAGCAAAAGGG
rnacentral:rRNA from 1 species